UGCCUUUUAUUCCUCAGUCAGGGUUGGAGGCUAUGAUCUGCCCUUGGGGAUCAUGGUCAGGGCUGCCACAAGCUGGCAGGCUUGUUUUCCUGCCUCAGACAUCU
rfam:Mustela putorius furo unplaced genomic scaffold scaffold00096, whole genome shotgun sequence.